GUAGGUGAACCUGCGGAAGGAUCAUUAACGAGUUAACCUGGGGUGGUGGGGAUUCGAUGCUGGCCGCUCUGCGGCACGUGCUCGUCCCCCUGCCCCUCAUCCACUCACAACCCCUGUGCAUUAUGAGAGGUGUGGUCUCCCCUUUCAACGGGAGCAGCUCCCUUCCGGCCUCACCGCCGGGGGGUCGAGCCGGGACCGCGCUUCGAACCCCUUCACACAAACCUUUGAAACAGUAUCGUAGAAUGUAUUG
rnacentral:misc_RNA from 1 species